GUUAGAGAGAGGGGGAGAGAUGAGGGAGAGAGAUGAGGGAGAGAGAGAGAGAGAGAGAGAGAGAGAGAGGGGUGUGUGUGUGUGUGUGUGUGUGUGUGUGUGUGUGUGAGAGAGAGAGAGAGAGAGAGAGAGAGAGAGAGAGAGAGAGAGAGAGAGAGAGAGAAGGGAAGAGGGAGAGGGGGGUUUAAGGGAGAGGUGGAGAUGGUGGAAAAUAAAGAUUGGUGAGGGGGAUUUGGUGGCAGAUGAAACAUCCCAUAGCUCCCCAGCUCUCACCAUCCAUGUGAGGAGAGUGAGCAAGGGACAUAGUCCCCCGACCUGACUAGGUCUAGGCUCUGCUCUCCUCACGGUCCUCACAAGAUACAAAGAGAUAUGUAAACGUGGAAGUGAGAGUUCUCUAGGCAGAGUUUUGGGUUUGGUUUGAGCUGAGUUGGUCAGUUGAUUAUUGAUUACUAUUUUAAGUUUUAAAAGUGGAUAGAGUCAAAAAGUCACAGAGGAUUGUGAUGGGAGCAAGUGGUCCGUCUGGCACCAUUCUGCUCAUGCAAGGAUUCGAGUGAUAGAAAGAGAAUAGAUCUUGCCACCGUGACUCGCCAUUGAGACUCUCCUCACCUGCUGGUUUUCAUCCUCUGAUAGGACAGAGAGGUACAGAUCAGGAGAGAGGGAGAAAAGGAGGGGGGCAGGGUGGGGUCAGGAGUUAAUUUGUCUGGAAAAGUAUUUAUCUUUUCGUCAUUGCUGUUAGGGUUUAGAUGUUUUUUGUUUAGUUAUCUGAGGAAUGUAGUGUUAGUAUAGGUUCCAAGGUGGAGGAUUCUUUGGAAUUCACUCUCACCCUUGAAACUGGAAGAUCUUAGAUUCUAUAAAGGGGGGGAAGGGGGGGGGUGAGAGGUUGUGUGCACAGAAGGAGCAUGGGCUCAGACUAUUCUCGGAAUGAUAUUGUGACAAGUCUGUGCGAAGGCAACUCGCUGGUUAGGUGUGGGUAAGAGAUACAGUGAUAGCCCCUGCUUUCAUCAGUUGACUUGGCGGUCCCAGUCGAGUCUCCAAGCUCAAUCUGUGUGUAAAAUUUAUGUGUUGGUAGGAAGUUUAAUGACUCAGCUCAAUUGGUAUGCUAUGCUGUCUAUCUUUUAGACUAUGUGUUUGUAGAGCAAAAUUUUGUAUAUAUUAUAUUACAGGGCUAGGGGAAGGUUAAAGGUUUUUGGCGUUAGGGUUAAAAUCACUGUCCAAAACCUUUGUAGGAACUCUUUUCCAACCUUUUGGAGUUAGCUAGACCAACAAAAAAAAAUGAAAAAUGAAAAAAAAAAUUUGGGGGGGUGAAGGCUUCCUACAGGUAAUACCCGGGUAUUAGGUUACGGGGCUAGGGAAAGGUUUAAGGUUUUUGGCUUUAGGGUUAAAAUCACUGUCCAAAACCUUUGUAGGAACUCUGUUCAAACCUUUUGGAGAUAGCUAGACCAAAAAAAAAUGAAAAAUGAAAAAAAAAAAUUUGGGGGGAGUGAAGGCUUCGGGUAUUAGGUUCGGGGACAGGGUAAGGUUUAAGGUUUUAAGCAUUAGGGUU